AGAGUUUGAUCAUGGCUCAGGAUGAACGUUGGCGGCGUGCCUAAUACAUGCAAGUCGAACGGUAGUUGAGCAUUCGUGCUUGAUGAGAGUGGCGAACGGGUGAGUAACACGUAACUGAUCUGCCCUUUAGACUGGGAUAACCUUUGGAAACAGAGGCUAAUACCGGAUGAGUUCGCGGUAGUUAGAGAGCCGUGAGGAAAGGCUAAUGCGCUAAGGGAUGAGGUUGCGGGCCAUCAGCUAGUUGGUGAGGUAAAGGCUCACCAAGGCGAUGACGGUUAGGGGAUCUGAGAGGGUGGCCCCCCACACUGGGACUGAGACACGGCCCAGACUCCUACGGGAGGCAGCAGUAAGGGAUAUUGCACAAUGGACGGAAGUCUGAUGCAGCGACGCCGCGUGGGUGAAGAAGGUUUUCGGAUCGUAAAGCCCUUUUCUAUGUGACGAGAGAGGACGGUAGCAUAGGAAUAAGUGUCGGCUAACUACGUGCCAGCAGCCGCGGUAAAACGUAGGACGCGAACGUUAUCCGGAGUUACUGGGCGUAAAGCGCGCGUAGGCGGUUGGUUAAGUUACCUAUGAAAGAUACAGGCUAAACUUGUAUUGGUUAGGCGAAACUGGCUAA
rnacentral:rRNA from 1 species